rnacentral:lncRNA from 1 species
UCUGGAACCGUUGGCAAUUCGGGCUUUGGAACCUCUGGCACCUUCGGCAACUCAGGCUUCUGAAUCUCCGGCAUCUUGGGCAACUCGGGUUUCUGAAUCUCCGGCAUCUUAGGUAACUCCGGCAUUUUGGGCAACUCCGGCUUCUGGAUCUCCGGUACCUUAGGAGCCUCAAGCUUGGGAACUUCUGGCAACUUUGGCAACUCAGGUUUCUGAAUCUCCGGCAUCUUAGGUAACUCCGGCAUUUUGGGCAACUCCGGCUUCUGGAUCUCUGGUACCUUAGGAGCCUCAAGCUUGGGAACUUCUGGCAACUUUGGCAACUCAGGCUUUGGAAUCUCUGGCACCUUAGGAGCCUCAGGCUUUUCAGUCUCCAUUAGCUUAGGCACCUCAGGCUUUGAAUUCUCUGGAAACUUUGGCAAAUCAGGCUUUGGAAUCUCUGGAAACUUUGGUAAUUCAGGCUUUGGAAUCUCCGGCAUUUUUGGUAACUCGGGCUUCUGAAUCUCCGGUACCUUUGGUAACUCAGGUUUUGGAAUCUCUGGCAUCUUUGGGAGCUCAGGUUUUGGAAUUUCCGGAAACUUGGGCAAUUCAAGCUUGGGAAUAUCUGGCAGUUUAGUUUCCUCAG